UAUAAGGAUUGGGUUUUCAUCCCUAUGAGUGAGAUGCAGGCCCUCUAACAUUAUUACAUGUCAGCGCAUUACCCAACUGACAUGAGAAAAAGAAUUCUCCCUUGCUUCAAAACGCUUUGGCAAAUUCUCAUCUAUGUGGAAAACAAACACCAAGAGGAAGUAGAGACAAUGAGUGUGGACAACCCAUGUGAAAAGUUCAGGCUAAUGAGAUUGCUGCCCGUAGGAGAAAGGAUAAAAUCACAAGGUGGCGCCGUUGUCUCCAGAUGUCAAGGUCUUCUGGAUGGCAGGUACCCUUAAAAGAAUGCAGACAAACACUUCUAUGGAAAUUUAAAGGAGCAUAAGCCUUCUUCCAGUAUAGGGAGAGAACCAAGGAAGACUUCCUGAAGGAAGUGGCCUUUGAGUGGGCCUUGGAUCAUGUGGAGAUCAGGGCUGCUCCUCCACCUCCCUCCUCAGAAGGUGUUCGGUUCCUGGGUAAGCUGGUUUUCUGUUCUCCCUUCCCCACUCUUCUCUUGCCUG